rnacentral:miRNA from 1 species
CUGGAGUCUAGGAUUCCA